ACGGGUGAGUAACACGUGGGUGAUCUGCCCUGCACUUCGGGAUGAGCCUGGGAAACUGGGUCUAAUACCGGAUAUGACCUCCUAUCGCAUGGUGGGUGGUGGAAAGAUUUAUCGGUGCAGGAUGGGCCCGCGGCCUAUCAGCUUGUUGGUGGGGUAAUGGCCUACCAAGGCGACGACGGGUAGCCGACCUGAGAGGGUGACCGGCCACACUGGGACUGAGACACGGCCCAGACUCCUACGGGAGGCAGCAGUGGGGAAUAUUGCACAAUGGGCGAAAGCCUGAUGCAGCGACGCCGCGUGAGGGAUGACGGCCUUCGGGUUGUAAACCUCUUUCAGCAGGGACGAAGCGCAAGUGACGGUACCUGCAGAAGAAGCACCGGCUAACUACGUGCCAGCAGCCGCGGUAAUACGUAGGGUGCAAGCGUUGUCCGGAAUUACUGGGCGUAAAGAGUUCGUAGGCGGUUUGUCGCGUCGUUUGUGAAAACCAGCAGCUCAACUGCUGGCCUGCAGGCGAUACGGGCAGACUUGAGUACUGCAGGGGAGACUGGAAUUCCUGGUGUAGCGGUGAAAUGCGCAGA
rnacentral:rRNA from 1 species